GACGAACGCUGGCGGCGUGCCUAACACAUGCAAGUUGAGCGACGAACCAGGGCUUGCCCUGGGGUAAAGCAGCGAACGGGUGAGUAACACGUGGGUAACCUACCCCGAUAACCGGGACAACCCGAGGAAACUCGGGCUAAUACCGGAUGUGCUCACUGGACUUCGGUUCAGUGCGUAAAGGAAGCUUCGGCCUCCGUAUCGGGAGGGGCCCGCGGCCCAUUAGUUUGUUGGUGAGGUAACGGCUCACCAAGACCGCGAUGGGUAGCUGGUCUGAGAGGACGAUCAGCCACACUGGGACUGAGACACGGCCCAGACUCCUACGGGAGGCAGCAGUGGGGAAUCUUGCGCAAUGCGCGAAAGCGUGACGCAGCAACGCCGCGUGGGGGAAGAAGGCCUUCGGGUUGUAAACCCCUUUCAGGAGGGACGAAGGUUCGGCGGUGAAUAGCCGUCCGGACUGACGGUACCUCCACAAGAAGCCCCGGCUAACUACGUG
rnacentral:rRNA from 1 species